UCGGGAAUAUUGCGCAAUGGAGGAAACUCUGACGCAGUGACGCCGCGUGCAGGAAGAAGGUUUUCGGAUUGUAAACUGCUUUAGACAGGGAAGAAAAAAGACAGUACCUGUAGAAUAAGCUCCGGCUAACUACGUGCCAGCAGCCGCGGUAAUACGUAGGGAGCGAGCGUUAUCCGGAUUUAUUGGGUGUAAAGGGUGCGUAGACGGGAAGAUAAGUUAGUUGUGAAAUCCCUCGGCUCAACUGAGGAACUGCAACUAAAACUGUCAUUCUUGAGUACUGGAGAGGAAAGUGGAAUUCCUAGUGUAGCGGUGAAAUGCGUAGAUAUUAGGAGGAACACCAGUGGCGAAGGCGACUUUCUGGACAGAAACUGACGUUGAGGCACGAAAAGUGUGGGGAGCAAAACAGGAUUAGAUACC
rnacentral:rRNA from 1 species